UACGGGGGGGUAAGCGUUGUUCGGAAUUACUGGGCGUAAAGGGCUCGUAGGCGGCCAACUAAGUCAUACGUGAAAUCCCUCAGCUUAACUGGGGAACUGCGUGUGAUACUGGAUGGCUUGGAUUUGGGAGAGGGAUGCGGAAUUCCAGGUGUAGCGGUGAAAUGCGUAGAUAUCUGGAGGAACACCGGUGGCGAAGGCGGCAUCCUGGACUGGUACUGACGCUCAGGAGCGAAAGCGUGGGGAGCGAUCGG
rnacentral:rRNA from 1 species